GUAGUCUUUGUCAGAUAAUUAACAAAUAUUCCAACACUGAAAUUCAGCUUUUUGUUUUAUAGAUAUAGAGUGAGUUUGGUUCUGGUGCUGUGGAAUAGGUGAUAUGCUAUCAGGCUUUGAUGGGAUGUGGGGAAAAGUUCCAUAUCACUGUUAUCAAUUCUUGGAGUAUGAUUUAUAUAUCUCUUAGGCAACUUGACUUAAUGUCAAAUGGUGUAAGAUUCUAUACCUCAUUUGGUAAUUAAUUAGAAUAAACUGAUGAGCCUUGAAAUUUUCUUAAAAAAGGGUCCAAUGUGCAAGGCCACACAUCCAUCCAUUUCAGUGCCAAACCCACACAAAGCCUUGAGAUUUGUUUGAUCACCCACACUUUGAUCUAAAAAUGUAGGUGUUAAAAAGCUCUUAUGCUAAUGUAUUAUGUAUUCAUGACUUGUCUACUGAUUUCUUUUGUUGGUUUGAUAAUUUCAAAUUAAUGAUUUGAUUGAUAAUCACAUUAUCUUUUUUUCACAGUAUUCCAAUCUUCGGUUGGCAGAGGAUCCUAAUCUUCGGUUGGGAGUGGCAUUGAAGCAGUGAGCAUUGCAAAUACCUUUUACUUUUGACAUUACAUUUUCCUUCUCAAAUUUCCAUUUAUUUAUAAAAUUUAACUGUAAAAGGUUUUCUAGUUAAACUUAAUGUUGUCCACCAACCUCUUCAUGGGUCUAUUGCUUCUAAAUUUGCUUUUCAAAGAACAAAAUAGAGCGCACUUUUCUGCAAUGCACACAACUGUUUCAAUUAAUUAUGCCACUUUCAGUUUUGAAAACUAACAAUCAAAGUAAGAAAAUUGAAAAAAAGUGAUGAAUAUUAUCCAAGAUGUACCAAAUACUAAGUCAGGCAGUGAUAAUCCAGCAUGCUAUAAUUAUAUAAACCAGGACAAUCAAAUUUUUCCCCGAGCACUCAUUAUGCCACCAACCCUCUAGAAGCAACAAAAACUAGAUGAAAUUAAAGGUAAAAGAUUUCAAACCAGAUAUGAAAUGUGUAUGAAAGAAAUUCAACAGUUCAGACGUCAUUGUUUGAAAUUCAGCACAAUAGAUAUUAAAGAAAUAAGACCCUUUUCUUCUUCAUACAUUAAUUGUUUCCUAUAUAUAUAUAAAAGCAAAAUUAUGUAUGCUAUGUUAAUAUCAACAUGUUUGCUCUAUAAUUUGUUAAUACUGAAGCUGAACAUUUGUUACAACCUGAAGGAGAUGCCCUCAAAUUUGCAUACACUCACCAACUUGAAUUUACACUUAUAAAAGUGACAAAUAUGCCAAUGCAUUUGAGAAAAUUGAAGAAUCUUAAAGUACUAAGUACAUUUUUGUCGAUACAAAUUGCAGUUCAGUAGUAAUAGCGAGCAUUGGUGCAGAAUUUUAUGGAAGCAGGUCUUCUUCAUUUCUGUCUUUGGAAAGAUUGCAAUUCUACAACAUGAACGAAUAGAAUGUAAAACUGCUACUUUUCCGAGUCUUCAAUAGCUUUCUACAUAGAUAUGUCCCAAGUUAAAAAUUUUCAAAGAAACUUCUUCAUUUUUAGGAACUGUAUAUAUAUUUGUGAUAGCAUGGAAACACCAGCUGAAAAGGUAUGUAAAAACUAUCCUAUGUACUGAUUCUUGUAUUUGAAGAAGAAAAAAAUCGCCAUACGACAUAAUACAUGAAAGAACACCCAAGAAUAAACAAUGAUAAUGAAAAACAUGACAAUGUGUAUGAUGUAAACUAUAUUAAUAUUAAUAUUAAUAAUAUAAGAUAAUAG
rnacentral:lncRNA from 1 species